UCCGAAGUCAAGCAUCAUUGGGCGCGGUCAGUACUUGGGUGGGUGACCACCUGGGAACACCGCGUGCCGUU